UACGUAGGGUGCAAGCGUUGUCCGGAAUUAUUGGGCGUAAAGAGCUCGUAGGCGGUUUGUCGCGUCUGCUGUGAAAACUCGGGGCUUAACUCCGGGCCUGCAGUGGGUACGGGCAGACUGGAGUACUGCAGGGGGAGACUGGAAUUCCUGGUGUAGCGGUGGAAUGCGCAGAUAUCAGGAGGAACACCAGUGGCGAAGGCGACUACCUGGCCUGUUUCUUGACGCUGAGGCGCGAAAGCUAGGGGGAGCAAACAGG
rnacentral:rRNA from 1 species